UCAUAUUUUUCUCUCCCACUUCUCUGCCACCGCCACUCUCCAUUUUUUUUUCUUCUUUCUUUCCUCCUUUUUCUUUCCCAGUUCUCUCUCCAUACCCAUGCGCCUCACCCAUCUCAACAAUAUCGCGACUAUCAGUUGUCACCGGCGGUGACGCUACCGAUCGAUCGUUGUUUCUCUCUUUCUCUCACCUUCCCAUCUUCACCAUGGUGUGUUCCGGUCUGCCAUGGUGUGUUCUUCAAACCAGAACCGAAGCAUGAAGGCUUACUCCCUCCUCAAGAAGUAAGGAUUUGACAUGUCAUCCUACGGGACGGGGGCGUACGUUAAGCUCUGUGGACUUUCUUUUUCCAUCUUUGAGAAUUAUAGGUAUUGAGGCAUUUGGUUCCAAUUUGAUGCUAUAGUUUGUUGGUUUCAUCUCAAUUGUUGGUACAUGUUCGAUGAUCUCUGCCGCAAAGACCCCGACCUGUAUCAUCUUUCUUCCAUUUCUAGCAAAAUGAAACCUUAAUGACAACACAUCUACAAGCAUAAUGGCAUCCUGCCAAUGCUUAAAAGGAAUUCAUCAAUCAAAACCACACCUCAGCGCUAGCAAGAUAAUGUUGCUGAUGGGCCAUUCGAUGUGGUAUUCACAUUUGAAGAAAAGGUUUUCGAUAUGAUUGUUGAAGGUUAAUGUUUGCAUUUUUGUUUUGUUUCUAACGCAACAUAUAUUAUAGAUAGGUUAUUGAGCAAUCUUAAAAAUAUUUUAUUGUAGUUAGAUAUCUAAUUUCUUAAUUUGAGCUUUUCAUUUUCUUAACAUCGUUUAUUUUUUCUAUCAUAAGUUUGAGAUAGAGGUAUUGGCAAUUUUAGGGUCUUUCUAGAGGGCGGUGCUUGAAGAUUAAUGCUAGAGAUAUGGUAUUCAAGAAAUAUAGCAAAAAAGAAGAAGAUGAUGAAGAAUUAGUGACCACCUCUUACGAAGAUAGGAUUGUACUUUUCAAUUUAAGUUUGUAUAUUAUCUUAAUUGAAUAUUUGUAAUUUUUUUUUUUUUUGUAUAUAGAAAAUAGAGAGUAAGUAGAAAAAGAUUUAUUCUAUUGUGUUGUUAGUAUUCAAAUGUAUCUAUAAUAAUUUUUUCCCUUGAGUAAUAAUUUAUUUACAUUGUUUUAGGACUUA